rfam:Cavia porcellus supercont2_29 genomic scaffold, whole genome shotgun sequence.
GGGGAUUUAGCUCAGCGGCAUAAGCGCCUGCCUUGCAAGCAGGCAGUCGUGAGUUCAAUCUCUG